AGAGUUUGAUUAUGGCUCAGGACGAACGCUGGCGGCGUGCUUAACACAUGCAAGUCGAACGGUGAAAGCGGAGCUUGCUCCGCUGGAUCAGUGGCGAACGGGUGAGUAACACGUGGGCAACCUGCCCCAGACUUCGGGAUAACUCUUCGAAAGAGGCGCUAAUACCGGAUAUGAACUCUGCAGGCAUCUGCGGAGUUGGAAAGUUUUUCGGUCUGGGAUGGGCCCGCGGCCUAUCAGCUAGUUGGUGAGGUAGUGGCUCACCAAGGCGACGACGGGUAGCCGGCCUGAGAGGGCGACCGGCCACACUGGGACUGAGACACGGCCCAGACUCCUACGGGAGGCAGCAGUGGGGAAUAUUGCGCAAUGGGCGAAAGCCUGACGCAGCAACGCCGCGUGCGGGAUGAAGGCCUUCGGGUUGUAAACCGCUUUCAGCAGGGAAGAAGCGAAAGUGACGGUACCUGCAGAAGAAGCACCGGCUAACUACGUGCCAGCAGCCGCGGUAAUUC
rnacentral:rRNA from 1 species